AUUGAACGCUGGCGGCAUGCCUUACACAUGCAAGUCGAACGGCAGCAUGAUCUAGCUUGCUAGAUUGAUGGCGAGUGGCGAACGGGUGAGUAAUACAUCGGAACGUGCCCUGUAGUGGGGGAUAACUAGUCGAAAGAUUAGCUAAUACCGCAUACGACCUGAGGGUGAAAAUGGGGGACCACAAGGCCUCAUGCUAUAGGAGCGGCCGAUGUCUGAUUAGCUAGUUGGUGAGGUAAAGGCUCACCAAGGCGACGAUCAGUAGCUGGUCUGAGAGGACGAUCAGCCACACUGGGACUGAGACACGGCCCAGACUCCUACGGGAGGCAGCAGUGGGGAAUUUUGGACAAUGGGCGAAAGCCUGAUCCAGCAAUGCCGCGUGUGUGAAGAAGGCCUUCGGGUUGUAAAGCACUUUUGUCCGGAAAGAAAUGGCUCUGGUUAAUACCUGGGGUCGAUGACGGUACCGGAAGAAUAAGGACCGGCUAACUACGUG
rnacentral:rRNA from 1 species